rnacentral:rRNA from 1 species
GACGAACGCUGGCGGCGUGCUUAACACAUGCAAGUCGAACGGAAAGGCCCUGCUUGCAGGGUACUCGAGUGGCGAACGGGUGAGUAACACGUGGGUGAUCUGCCCUGCACUUCGGGAUAAGCCUGGGAAACUGGGUCUAAUACCGGAUAGGAGCCAUUUUUAGUGUGAUGGUUGGAAAGUUUUUUCGGUGCAGGAUGAGCUCGCGGCCUAUCAGCUUGUUGGUGGGGUAAUGGCCUACCAAGGCGGCGACGGGUAGCCGGCCUGAGAGGGUGGACGGCCACAGUGGGACUGAGAUACGGCCCAGACUCCUACGGGAGGCAGCAGUGGGGAAUAUUGCACAAUGGGCGCAAGCCUGAUGCAGCGACGCCGCGUGGGGGAUGACGGCCUUCGGGUUGUAAACUCCUUUCGCUAGGGACGAAGCUUUUUGUGACGGUACCUAGAUAAGAAGCACCGGCUAACUACGUG